rnacentral:rRNA from 1 species
AAAUUGAAGAGUUUGAUCAUGGCUCAGAUUGAACGCUGGCGGCAGGCCUAACACAUGCAAGUCGAACGGUAACAGGAAGCAGCUUGCUGCUUUGCUGACGAGUGGCGGACGGGUGAGUAAUGUCUGGGAAACUGCCUGAUGGAGGGGGAUAACUACUGGAAACGGUGGCUAAUACCGCAUAACGUCGCAAGACCAAAGAGGGGGACCUUCGGGCCUCUUGCCAUCAGAUGUGCCCAGAUGGGAUUAGCUUGUUGGUGAGGUAACGGCUCACCAAGGCGACGAUCCCUAGCUGGUCUGAGAGGAUGACUAGCCACACUGGAACUGAGACACGGUCCAGACUCCUACGGGAGGCAGCAGUGGGGAAUAUUGCACAAUGGGCGCAAGCCUGAUGCAGCCAUGCCGCGUGUAUGAAGAAGGCCUUCGGGUUGUAAAGUACUUUCAGCGGGGAGGAAGGUGU